rnacentral:rRNA from 1 species
GAUGAACGCUGGCGGCGUGCCUAAUACAUGCAAGUCGAGCGAACGGACGAGAAGCUUGCUUUUCUGAUGUUAGCGGCGGACGGGUGAGUAACACGUGGAUAACCUACCUAUAAGACUGGGAUAACUUCGGGAAACCGGAACUAAUAUCGGAUAAUAUUUUGAACCGCAUGGUUCAAAAGUGAAAGACGGUCUUGCUGUCACUUAUAGAUGGAUCCGCGCUGCAUUAGCUAGUUGGUAAGGUAACGGCUUACCAAGGCAACGAUGCAUAGCCGACCUGAGAGGGUGAUCGGCCAAAAUGGAACUGAGACAAGGUCCAGACUCCUACGGGAGGCAGCAGUAGGGAAUCUUCCGAAAUGGGCGAAAGCCUGACGGAGCCACGCCGGGUGAGUUAUGAAGGUCUUCGGAUCGGAAAACUCUGUUAUUAGGGAAGAACAUAUGUGUAAGUAACUGUGCACAUCUUGAAGGUACCUAAUCAGAAAGCCACGGCUAAAUACGUG